GACAGGGGAUACAAGCGUUACUCGGAAUCACUGGGCGUAAAGCGUCUGUAGGCCUUCCGGAAAGUCUGAGGUAAAAGCUCAGGGCUUAACCCUGAAAGCGUCUUGGAAACUCCCGUAAUUGAGCAAUAGAGAGGCACCUGGAAUGCCAUAUGUAGGAGUAAAAUCCGUAGAUAUAUGGUAGAACGCCAAAAGUGAAGACAGGGUGCUAGCUAUUCGCUGACGCUGAGAGACGAAAGCGUGGGGAGCAAAGCGG
rnacentral:rRNA from 1 species